UGCAAAUCAAUAUAGAUUGAAAUUUAAUUUUUAUUUAUUAAUUAUUUGUGUAUUGUUUGUUAUAUAUAUAUAUAUAUAUAUAUAUAUAUAUAUAUAUAAUGUAUAAUUUUAUUAAAAAUAAUUAUAUAUUUUAUUUUGUUUUAGUAAUAUAAAAUGAAAAAAUAAUUUUUAUUAUAGUUUAUUUGUAUUGUGAAAGAUUAUUGAAAUAUAUUUGAAAAAUAUAUAUUAAAAAAGAAUAAUUUUAUUUUAGUACCUUGUGUAUCAGGGUUUAUUAAAUAUUUAAUAUUUAUAUUAUAUUAAUCUCGAUUUUAUAAGAGUUAAUAAUUUAUUAUAUAUAAUGUGUUAAAAUUAUUUUAUAUAAAUUAUUAGAAAUGAAAUGUUAUUCGUUUAUAAAGAUAUCUAGUUUUUUCAGAAAUAAAUUUAAUUUAUAAAUUAUUAUAAUUUUUUUUUACUUGUUAAAUAAAAAAUUUUAUUAAUUUAAGUAUUUUAAGGGAUAAGCUUUAAAAUAAAUUUUUAUAAAUUAAUAAAUUAUUAUUUAAAAUAUAUGCGUAGAAUUAGCAAUUAUUAUUAAGUUUGUUUUAAAUUAUUUUAUUUUUAUUAUAAUUUAUUAUAUUUUAAUUUUUAUUUAUGAAAAUUUUUAUGUUAAUUAUAUAUAUAAAAUAAUAAUGAUAAAAUUAGUAUAAUAUAUAUAUAUAUGUUUUUUAAAAUUUAUAUGAUAAGUUUAUUUAAAGAACUCGGCAAAUUUUAUACUCGCCUGUUUAACAAAAACAUGUCUUUUUGAGUUGUUUAAAAAGUCUAACCUGCCCAAUGAAUUUUUUAAUGGCCGCAGUAUAUUAACUGUGCAAAGGUGGCAUAAUCAUUAGUCUUUUAAUUGAAGGCUUGUAUGAAUGGUUGAACGAAGUAUAUACUGUUUCAUAUAAAUUUAUUUUAGAAUUUUAUAUUUUAGUAAAAAAGCUAAAAUUUUAUUAAAAGACGAGAAGACCCUAUAAAUCUUUAUAUUUUAAAAUUGUUAAAUUUUUUGUUAAAUAAAUAUUAUAUUUUUAAAUUUUAAAAUAUUUUGUUGGGGUGAUAUUAAAAUUUAUUAAACUUUUAAUUUUUUUUUACAUUAAUUUAUGAAUAAUUGAUCUUUUAAUAAUGAUUAUAAGAAUAAGUUACUUUAGGGAUAACAGCGUAAUUUUUUUGGAGAGUUCUUAUUGAUAAAAAAGUUUGCGACCUCGAUGUUGGAUUAAGAUAAAUAUUUAGGUGCAGUAGUUUAAAUAUUAAAGUCUGUUCGACUUU
rnacentral:rRNA from 1 species